UGGGAAGCCCUUCUAUUAGUAGAGGCAAUCACAAAGUUCCACCUAGUUCAAGGGAAGGGGCAUAGUCUCCUUCUCUCUAUGAGGGGUUGCAGUGUUCUAGAAGUGCUUGCAGGACAGAAAAUAUUGUUGCAGAUAUUCCUGUUGGCCGGCGAAUCAAUCUGAAAAAUACAAUGUUUCGAGCAGGACCUCAGAACAACUGUAGUAGAAAGUCCUGUGGUGGGAACUGAGAGUCCAAAUUAAGCUGAUUUAAGGGGAAAGGUGCCCAAUAUGUGCUAACACAACCGUUUGUUCACAAGUAAAUCAGAACUCUGGCAACGGACACUUAGUCUUGAGUGUUUGGGUUGUUUAGGAUCGUCCUUCUUCAGAGUCCUCAGAACUUCAACCUGUAACCAUGUCUUUAAAGUUCUAAACUCAUAGCAACCAUUGGAUCCUCGUAACAACAAUCCGGGACGUACAUACUAUUAUGAUUCCCAUUUCUAAGAUAGGGGAAUGGAGGCCCUGAGGAGGGGAAACGGAAGCACAAAGUGGUCAAGUCACUCGCUCAAGUUCACACAGCAACGAUGAGGCCAAGGAGACCCAAGAACAGAUCUGUGGGAACCCAAGGCUUUGCUUUUCACAUCGGCCUCUUCUAAUGAAUCACAGACAGACUUCAGACUGGAGAGGUGUGGAAAACUGAGGCUUGUUCCGUGUCACACAACUCGAAGGUGACAGAGUCAGGAUGGUGUCCAAGAGCUCGGACCCAAACGCCCUUGCUGAGAGGAAGACUUUGGUUUCUGAAGGGUUGAUUCCUGAUGAAGGACAUCUCCGAAGCUCUCUUGCUGACCGGCUUCCCGUUACCCUUGGCCAGUGGGAUGAGCCGGUUAGAGAUGAGAGGGCAGGAGGCAGGGUUCCUUCGGCUGUCAUCUUGGGUAGUGUCUCUACCACCCCUAUGCUCCCCGGUCCUGGGGACAGGAGGAGCUCCUUCUGUGUGCCAGUUCUAAUGGGCAGCCUGUGCCUAACUGUGAUUCCAGCAUCCUUCCCCGAUCCUGGCUCCUGGGCACUUACUCCUCAGUCCUUCUAGUCCCAGGGAUGCUGUAGCUUCCUGCUGCUAUUUGUCCCCGAGUUGCCCCUCAUCCUGUAAAGUCUUUCGGCUCUUCUAACUCCUUCAAAAUGAGGGCCCUAUAUUAAAUUCCUUCUGUGGAAAUAACUGCAGGAGUUCUGGUUUCCUGA